rnacentral:lncRNA from 1 species
UCUCUCAAGAAUGGGGACUGAGGUCUCUGGGUCUCAACACAGCUUUUUGCAUAUAAAGUUCACAGCUCUCAGAAAAUCUGCAUUUUGAAAUCUUGAAGAUCCCCUGCAGUUCCCUGUCCAUCACUGUUUAACUAUUUACAGAUGUGAUUCUUCAUAAUGCUUCUCUACCAGUGAAAGCCUUCCUGUUGAAGCUGCUGUGGC